rnacentral:rRNA from 1 species
AGUGAACGCUGGCGGUAGGCCUAACACAUGCAAGUCGAACGGCAGCACAGUAAGAGCUUGCUCUUACGGGUGGCGAGUGGCGGACGGGUAAGGAAUACAUCGGAAUCUAAUAUUUCGUGGGGGAUAACGUAGGGAAACUUACGCUAAUACCGCAUACGUUCUACGGGUGAAAGCAGGGGAUCUUCACACCUUUCGUGAUUGAAUGAGCUGAAGCCGGGCUAGAUUAGCUAGUUGGUAAGGUCAAGGCAUACCAAGGCGACGAUGCGUAGCCGGUCUGAGAGGAUGAUCGGCCACACUGGAACUGAGACACGGUCCAGACUCCUACGGGAGGCAGCAGUGGGGAAUCUUCGGCAAUGGGCGCAAGCCUGACCCAGCAAUACCGCGUGGGUGAAGAAGGCCUUCGGGUUGUAAAGCCCUGUUGUUGGGAAAGAACAGCAGUAGGUGAAACUGCCGAUGUUCUGACGGUACCCAAAGAGUAAGCACCGGCUAACUUCGUG